rnacentral:rRNA from 1 species
GAUGAACGCUGGCGGCGUGCCUAAUACAUGCAAGUUGAGCGAACAGACGAGGAGCUUGCUCCUCUGACGUUAGCGGCGGACGGGUGAGUAACACGUGGAUAACCUACCUAUAAGACUGGGAUAACUUCGGGAAACCGGAGCUAAUACCGGAUAAUAUAUUGAACCGCAUGGUUCAAUAGUGAAAGACGGUUUUGCUGUCACUUAUAGAUGGAUCCGCGCCGCAUUAGCUAGUUGGUAAGGUAACGGCUUACCAAGGCAACGAUGCGUAGCCGACCUGAGAGGGUGAUCGGCCACACCGGAACUGAGACACGGUCCAGACUCCUACGGGAGGCAGCAGUAGGGAAUCUUCCGCAAUGGGCGAAAGCUUGACGGAGCAACGCCGGGUGAGUGAUGAAGGUCUUCGGAUCGUAAAACUCUGUUAUUAGGGAAGAACAAAUGUGUAAGUAACUAUGCACGUCUUGACGGUACCUAAUCAGAAAGCCACGGCUAACUACGUG